UCCCAGAACGCCGGGAUCACGCCCUGAGCUGAAGGCAGACACUUAACCACUGAGCCACCCAGGCGCCCCUCCUUUCCCAUUUUCAAAGAAAAAUUUUCACUGACUAGAACCUACAACAGGAAAGCACACACAACCUAGGUGAACAACUCGGUGAACUCACAAGCUGAGCCCGGUGCCCAGAGCAAGACACAGAAUAUUCCAGGUGCCACCUUGUGCCCCUUGCAAUUACAAACGCCCUGCAAGGGGAACCUCUCUUCUGACGUCUUCCAUCGCAGACUCUCCUCUCUCCUGUUUCGAAGUUCAUGGACGAAAGCCUGGGGCGUGCUCUCCACGGCUCAGCUGUCGGCCCACGGCUCGCACACAGAGAGCCAGCACUUUGGCCGUGGCCGUGUCCUAUCCCAUGGUGUGACUCUCCCUCAGUUCUGGUAGACUGGUGGAUCCCUGUGGGUAUUCUUUCACACACUUCUGUACCCGUGUGUAUACCAGGCCGUUGGCGGGUCCGGGACUAGCUGUCAGCUUCUGUUCGGCUCCAUUCCAGGGGCUGAAAGCUUCCCGAAGUGACUGCCCCCCUUUCCACCUCCCAGCAGUGAUGACGGUUCCGGGCACCCUGCGCUGCCGCCGCCACCAGACAACGUGUGUCUUUUCCGCGGAGCCACUACAGCGGGCAUGCGGCUUUUCCGCGUUGUGGUUUCACCACACGUCCCCAGUAGCGGAUGAAGGAGAGCCCAAUUCCAUUAGCUUCAUUUGCUUCCUGGCCAUUGGAUUUCAUCUUUGGUGAAGAGCCUGUUCAAGCCCUUUGCCCAUUUUUCUAUUGGCUUGUCUAUUAGUGGUGCGUGAGAAUUUUUAAAAAUUAUACUCCCAGUACACAUCCUUUGUCAGAAAUACGUACGGCAGGUAACGGCUACUCUGUGGCUGCCCUUUCCACUCUCUUCAUGGCGAUGGCAUCUUAACUGAUGACCAGCAGUUCUUAGGUUUAGUCAAGUCUGACUCUAGUCUCUUCCCUUUAUGGCUGGUGCUUUCUGUGUUUUGUUUAAGAACGCUUUGCUAAUCCCAAGACCAUGAGGAUGGGCUCCUGCUUUCUCUUCUAGAGGCUUUGUUGUUUCUCCUGCCACAGUCAGGCCUGCAGUCCACCUGGAAUUGACUUCUGCAAGUGUGUAGAGUGAGGAAGGGUCAGCAUCGUCAGAACCUCCGAGGGUGGGAGAGACGAGGCCCCACUAGGAGGGAGGGGACUUUGCGGGGUGUGACCGGGCAGGAGCUGGUUGAGCUCUCCAUAGGCCUCCGACCAGAACACACACACUGCGGUCCUGGCCACUGCCCCCCAGGACAGAGGCUCUGCAGUGCUAAGGGCUGGGACCCGGGGAGCACAGGUGAACCUGGGCGCACCCACUCUUGGUCUGGCACACGGCUGAGCGGUUGCAAGCAGAGACCACCCCUCCUUGCUGGUACCCUGAGGAGCCUCCGCCAGGCCAGCUGGGAUGUUCUUGAGCCCGACGUGGGGAAGAGCACCGAGAUGGACCUGUGUGUGGCAACGAUCUUUCAAGUCCGCAAUGAAACCACUGCAGAGGGAAAUCGAGUCAGCCUCUCUACAGCUGGAGGCAGAGGGUCUGGCCCUUUUGAACUGAGUCCCUGAGGCUUUGGGAGCAAUGGUUCAGCUGACUAAUUUGAAUACUAAAAGGAGAAGUGGCCGAGACCGUGGGUCACACCAGUAAUGUAUAUAAAUAAGUGAAUCACUCUUCAGGCCAUCAAAAUAGCGUGUUUACAGGUGCUCAGCUGGAACUUCCUGCGGAAGAGGCAUUCUCCACGCCCAGCCUAGCAAGGGAACAGCUGCUUUGGAAAAUGUUAUUCUGGCUGUCAUCUCUGCUGGGUGUAGGCGCAGAGCCCACCCAUUAGAACAGUCAAGAGACAACGUGUGGGGCUUUGGCCCAGCCUUCUUUAGAAAUUCACAUCACUUGCAAAUCUCCAUUGUGAAAUAUCGAAACAUUGAUGUGGAAGAAAGGAAGACAAAGCCCAGACUCUGAAUCAACCGGAUCUGCCCUUGCUUCUGCCAUGCACCGGGAGCACUUCCUCUCCAGAAUUGCUGUGAUGUACCCCUGCUUCUUGAAGUUUUUUAGACGCCUCAGGUAAAGUAUAUUUGGGCCAUCUGUCUGUACAAGGGUUAGUAUGUGGUCACAACUUCCCAGAGCUGAGCUUUUCCCCCUGAUCUCCUCGGUGCCAAGAAACUGUUCUUUGUAGUCUCUAUAGGGGGAGAAGAAGGGAUGAUGGACUUCUGGUUCACACUCAUCCUGGGUGUGUGGCCCUUUAGAGUUCUAGCAUAAUGGGAUCAAGAUCUUCGAGUACAGUCCCCCUCUUACAUGGGUCUUGGGAUUUGAAUUUUGAAUCCUAGGUUCAUUUUCCUCUUCUAUGCAUAGUGACGAGUCUACUGGUAGCAUGCUAAAUCUCAGAAAAGUAUGGAAAGACUCAAGGCUCCUUGAAAUGAAACUGAUGGCGUUCUUCCUGCUACACCAGACAUGGUACUUGCUGGUGUUAAAGAUCUUGGAAGUAUAAAUGUUACAGGACCAACUUUAGAGCAUUUUAGGGGAAUGAGACAUACAAGGUGAAUUAGUUAGGAAUGCUUUCAACUACAAAUAGUAGAGACCUAAGAGGUAGGGGCUUACUCUUCUCAUAUAAUAGAAGUCUAGGGGUAGACAACUGGGGAUGUUGAGUCUUCUGCUCAAGAAUGUCUUUGGGGUGGAAGGCAGUCCAGUUUCUUUCUCUAUGUCCCCUCCCGUGUGUUGACUUUUCUUCAUAUUGGUCAUCUUAUUGUUAUAAAAUGGCCGCCAUAACUCUAGACAUCACACCCUUGUUUGAGGCAAGAAAAGAGGAAAGAGAUAAAGUCCCAUCUGUCUGUUUUAUCAGGGAGACCAAAGCUUCCCCAGCAGACCCUUCCCUGUGCAUCUCACUGUCCAGGGUGUGGUCACAUGACUAGCCCUAGCUAUGAGGAACCCUAAGAAAGCAAGUAUCCAGCAAGUGGAAUCAGAUGGUCAUGAUCACAUGAACCCAUCUUGGUUCUCCCCUUGGACCGAGCACACUCCUGCUCUGAAGACAACCAAGACCAUGUUACAGAGGCAAUGCGGGGCUUGUCCUUCUUGUAGCUCUCUGCACUCACGGCCCACCCCCCAGCAAAGCAGCACAAAGCCAACCCACUGAGCAGAGAGCCUGCUGUGUAGGGGAUUUUCCAGAAGUGGGCUUCUCAGCUACAGGACAGCUCUCCUAUCACAGUUGUUGUUGUUGUCGUUGUUUUUAAAUCCCCAAAAUGUCUGAGAGAGAUGACUGCCCUUGAAGAAGCUUCCACUUGGAUGCGGAGGAAGGCGGAGGAGUCGGAUGUUGUCAAGAUGAGGAAACUGAGGCCCAGGAAGCUGCCCCAGCCAGCAAGUGAGUGGAGCUAGCGUUCAGCCUGCUGAGCCCGGGGCCCACGCUCUGUGUACAACGGUACAGUUACUUGGGGUCGGGCUUCAGUGUGUGGGAGCGACGGUCACAUGGAGAGAUGCCCCAUUGCAGGGGUACGGGGCCAGAGGGGGAGCCAAGAGUGAGUUCCCUGUUCCCACAGCCACCCUGCAUCUUGGCCACAUGAAGGAGCCCUUCCCAGACAUUUACUUAGCCCUUCCACCAGGGGCACCCCCUUUUCCCUGUCCCUGCACACCCCUUGAAUCAAGGCUGGCUCUGUCUCGCCCCAGGAAGUCAUCCGAGGCCGACUGGGGAUGAGCCGCAGGAAUACAGCAGGUGAGGCCGGCAGAGGUGAGGGCCGAGGGUCCCCGUGGGGAAUCCCCAGGCCGAGGUCUCCAGGUGAGCUCCCCCAAAGCCACCCUUCACGAGCAGUCACCGGGGUUGGCGAAAUGUUGCAUGAGAAGACGGCCGGCCGGCUCCCCUCCACUCACCAGUUUCUCUGAAUCGUGCAGGUUUACCCACGGUUAAUAACAAUAGCUCUGCUGUGCGGAGGGCCGACCUGUGCCGGCCUGUACCUCACACAAUUAUUACCUGCAUUUUAUGUCAGUGAAAACCAGGGGCUCGGAGAAGCAGAGUGACUUGCCUAGAGUCACCUGGAGAGUAAGUGGAGCGGGCAGGAUUGGAACCCAGGGCCGGGCAAGGAACGCACCCUUCCCUUCCGCCGUGCAGGAGCCCCUCUGCGACCCGUGAGCCUGUCCACCUGAGGGGGCACACUGCAACUCUCGCUGGCCUGACACACAGGCAGAACUGACCUGAGUCUGAGUCUCACUCGUCCGGAAAACCAACCUGUCCAAGCUUCCUCUUAGGAGAGAAAUCAACUGGUGUCCUGGGGGGCCGUAAUAGAGAUUCACAUCGAUCUAGCACUUUCCGUAACUGCUUUCCACAUUGGAUCUCAUUUGAGCCUCAUGGUAACUAUUAUCCACUUUGAAGAUGAAGCGUUCAAAAGACCAAGCACCUUGCCCAAGACCACAGGACAGCAAGCAGGACCCUGACCCAGGUCUGACUUCUCAUCCCGGCUUCCUUCCACCAUAUCCCAAAACCCCUGGGGGGGUCCCCUGGGGAGUUGUUUCGCAGUGACAUGAGCAGCCAGAAUCCCAGCUGGAGCCCAGCCUCGGCCAGGCUGUGGCCCCACUGCCACCCGACAAGCCCAGGGACCCGUCCCAACAGGACCCAGGUCCGUGUGGAGAUAAAUGUGCCAUGACUGGUCACCCAGAGGAACCUGCUAGCACCAUCCGAGGCACAGAGGGUUGGCUCCGGGGCUGGGGGCUGGGCUGUCUUCCGUCUUGUGGCGCCUGGGUUCCCCAUCUGGCUGUUAACGCCAAAUUUCAGCUCCAGGUAAAGAUGUGUCUGAGUUAUAAACCUUUGAAGAUGCAGGUUCUUAAUGAAAACGCCGAGAGAAGCCAAUUAGAGUGGCAUGAACAGUCAUCACUGUAAUAAGUGUAAUUGAGUUGGAUUUAUUAUAGCUGACGACGGGCUUUUUUCCCCCCUUAAGUGAAGAAAAUAAUUUACUGAUAUUAAAACAUGAUUUAAGUUUUCCUUCACACCCCUGGGAAAUGGUAUUGUUUCUGGAACUUCAGUUCAGAUGUGAGGCUGGUGGAAAACAAGACAAGCUACCUUUAGCCACUUCACUUUCUCUGGCGGGAGCUCAUCUUGACGGAAAGCGCAAGCGAAUGAACCCAGAAGAGUUUGGAAGGCAGGGAGGGAAAGUGGGAAGGACAGAAAUUGGGUAGUCGCACUCUAUCAUUUACUAGCCGUGUGACUUAACAAGUUCCUCAGCCUCUUUGAGCCUUAGUUUCUUCAUCUGUAGGAUGGGAUAAUAAUACUAACACUGCAGGGGUGUUGGGGAAAUUAAAUUAAGCUAAAUUAUAUUAAAUUUAAUUAAAUAAGGUAUAUAAUAUGUCUGGCAUGUGGUAGGCACUCAAUAAAUGUUAACAAUCUUCCCUAAUAGUAGUAAGCUAUCUAUGGAAAGAGCCCAGGGCUCUAAAAGUCCUGCCAUGGCCUUUUUAUUUUUUUUUAACAAGAUAAAACUUAAUUUUUCUGUCAUGUGAAGUUCUACAGGUAAGUAGUUUUGAGGUGACAGGGUGAUUUCCCAAUCUGCAGGCAUAUAGAUAUACAGGGAUAUAGUCCCCCUUUUUCUCACUGUUCUGCCACCCUUGCAUGAAGCUCUCAUCUCCUGGCCCAAUAUGGCUGCCAAGUUCCAGUCAUUACAUCUUAUUUCCAGCUAGCAAAAAGGAGUAAGGGGCACAGUGGGGUUCUCUGGCUCUCUUUAAAGGGCACUUUUUGGAGUCACACACAACACGUUAGCUUAUAGGUCUUUAGACAGAAUUUGUCAUGUGGCUCCUCCCAGCAACCAGGAAUUCUGAGGAGUAUAGUUUUUAUUCCAGCAUCCGUGUGUCCCAAUACAAUUGGGGUCCUUAUGCUAAGGAAGAAGGGGAAGGAACACUGGGGGAAAAUAGGCUGUCUCUGCCCAAUUGUGCCGUCCGACAGAUUGUCGUGUAAGUUCAUAGAAUAAUGUACGUAAAACUUCAAACAGUGUCUGCACCAUAUCAGGGCAGAACCAAGUCUCACCCCCUCUCUGUGCUAGAAAACAGGCCUGUCUUCUGGAAGGGUCUCUUCUCCACUAUACAUCAGUGCCUCCAAAUCUCUUGGGCCUGACUUGCUUGGCCCAAGUCAGACCGUGAGGCCGGCCAGCUCAGAGGCGGAAGUGGUGGAAUGCAGGGACAAAGUGGCAUUUUGUUUUUAGAUAUUUAUUUGGCAGUGGGGAUUUACCAUGUGUUGGGCACUGUGGAUAAUUUAACCUCUCUAAACAUUUAGGCUUAAUAGGCUUAAAUAAAGUGAAUUCAUAAUUUUGCUUUUGGGUAAUGUAUAUAGAUGUGGGAGAUUCCACGGAAGAUUAUAUUCAGUUAAAAAAAAAGAGCAUAUGAAACAGCAGGUGGUGUGACCCCAGUUAUGACGACUUUUGCAAGUGACUUUUAUACAUUGAAAAAAGCCUAGGAAAAAACAGACCACCAAACAUCUCCUAUGAUGGCUGAGAUGUGUGAUUAUGAGUGAUUUCCGUCUUCUUCGUUGACUUUUCUCUAUUUUCCCAGUUUCUCACAAGCGUGGAUUACUUUCGUAAUCAUAAAAAGCAAUUCACAUGAUAAACAAAUAUUAGCUAAUGGUAUCCGGGCCAUGGUCAGGUGGGGCUGCUGGGGCAGGAGGAGGGGGAG